AGUGAACGCUGGCGGUAGGCCUAACACAUGCAAGUCGAACGGCAGCACAGUAAGAGCUUGCCCUUACGGGUGGCGAGUGGCGGACGGGUGAGGAAUACAUCGGAAUCUACUUUUUCGUGGGGGAUAACGUAGGGAAACUUACGCUAACACCGCAUACGACCUACGGGUGAAAGCAGGGGAUCUUCGGACCUUGCGCGAUUGAAUGAGCCGAUGUCGGAUUAGCUAGUUGGCGGGGUACAGGCCCACCAAGGCGACGAUCCGUAGCUGGUCUGAGAGGAUGAUCAGCCACACUGGAACUGAGACACGGUCCAGACUCCUACGGGAGGCAGCAGUGGGGAAUAUUGGACAAUGGGCGCAAGCCUGAUCCAGCCAUACCGCGUGGGUGAAGAAGGCCUUCGGGUUGUAAAGCCCUUUUGUUGGGAAAGAAAAGCAGCAGGUUAAUACCCCGCUGUUCUGACGGUACCCAAAGAAUAAGCACCGACUAACUUCGUG
rnacentral:rRNA from 1 species